CAUUGAAAAUUCAUUCAUAUAAACUACAAACAGAUUUAUAACAAUGGAAGUCAAUGGUUGUACAUUUUCUUUUAGGUCCCUCUAAUCAAGCGAAGCACAAAUUCAUACUACAAAUUAGCUUGGGCAAAUCCAUCAAAACUUUCAAUGACAAUAGUAUGAUGCCUUGUUUUCUGCUUUUUCGGCUAUCGCUGGGUAAAGCCCUGCAUUGAUUGGUGCUACAACGCCACAUGCAAGAAGAAACACAACAAAUAAAUAAAUCAGUAAUCUACUAUAGAAGAAAAAAAUCCACUUAGAAUCAUGAGAAUUUUGUGUUCUUUGGGGCACACACAAAAUGAGUUAAAGGGAACGCAUGCAGCAAUAUUCCAAAGUUCAGGAAGAGCUGCCAUGACCUUGUUACGUUUAAGAUUUUUCUUUCUAAUCAGCUGGGGAUGUAGUGUAUAAUAAGUUGAUAUACACUACAUCCCCAACUGAUCAGAAAGAAAAAUUACAGUCUCAUUGGCAUGUUGUCAGUCUAAGGAAAUCUCUGACAGUUGUAAAGACUUGAUAUUAUUAAAAUGACAGUAUUAUUAACAUGUUGUCAGACAUACCUGUAGUGUUCAGCUGAAUGGUACUAUACUGACUUAAAAGGUUUAACCAAACAGAAAGUUAUUAUAACUGUAGUAAUACCUACACCCCGAAUAGAAAAGAUGGUAAAUUAGUGUACUAAUCUUGAAAGCACCUUUGGCAACAUAAUCAAAUCCAACAUCUCAGCAUCUAUAGGGAAUGCAAAAUGCUCAUGGAAUAGAAAAACAGAGCACCCCUUUGCAGAAAUAAGGCACAUGUUUCCUUACCUGUAGGCAAAAUGCAAUAUAUUGUUUGUUUCCUGCAGGUCCUUAGCAGACUGUAAAACAAAAUAAGAAGCCAUGUUAGAUGGUAUGUGAAAGCGGAUACAUGAAUGGUACUAACACGAUAUAUUGUCUGCCCACAGCAAGUUAUCAAGCAAGAUCAUCAAAUAUUUCUUUGCAGACCAGUGUGAGUGUUGUCAGCAUUCUCGGGGGAAUUACCUACAACAAAGCUGGAAUACAAGGACUGACUAAGAAAUACUCACAUCACUCGAACUAAAAUCCCGUGCACAAAAUUUGAGAUGUCCAUUACUACUCUAUAAUGUAGCAUCGGACUCAUAUUCUCUGAAAUAGAUAUUAAAUAUAUGAUAACAUAAACAACAAUCCAAGAGAACUUAUUUUGAAGGUUAUAAGAGCAUAAGUAACAGCCUCAGAAAAAACAUGAUGUUAGUCCUUGCCUUAAUUCAGAUUGUUUGCUAUAACAAAAAGGAGCAAAGGUUCAGAAGAAGAAGGUAGAUUGAUUGGCUCAAAGUAGCAUACUGGUGAGGCAGUGUAUCCAUCCAUGUAGGAAAAAUUCAUCUAUCUAGUAGUUUGAUCUACUACUCAUGAUGCGGUAGGACAGAGUGAAUACUCCGAACCGACUUAAACUUGUUUUAGACAAUUCUUAGUGUCAAGAUGGGGAAAUAAAUAAUACCUCUAUGAGUGACUUUCGAGCAUCUUUUAGCUCCCUCUUCUGUCCUAUAUUUGCAGACAAUAGUGCAAUGCUCGUAAUUUGCCUGCAUCAGAAAGGGAACAACUAUAAAUAUAAUUAUAGGG
rnacentral:lncRNA from 1 species